CCUCCUUAUACGAUUUAGAACUUAUUUGUUCGUAGUGUCCACACAGAUGAUUGUUAGUUAGUUUUACCCUUUGGGUUUAACUGAUUAAUAUGCUCUUUAAAAAUUUGGAAAAGCUGAUAAUAAAAUUCGUAUGAAUAACACUGUUAUUUGUACAGAGUUUUCAAAAGUAAAAAAGAAUGAUAGCAGUAUCAUUCAGUGCCAAUUUAAUCAUUUAUGAUUAAUUGGUAUCUACUUUAGUAUUCAAUAUUAACUUCUGGCGAAGUUAAACUGCCACUAACAAAGACCCGUUUGGGUUGUAUGGUUAAGUGACUAAGCGUACACGGUGGAUGC
rnacentral:misc_RNA from 1 species